rnacentral:rRNA from 1 species
GACAGAGGGUGCAAACGUUGUUCGGAAUUACUGGGCGUAAAGGGCGCGUAGGCGGCUUUGCAAGUGGCGGGUGAAAUCCCUCGGCUUAACCGAGGAACUGCCUGCCAGACUGUGAGGCUUGAGACCGGGGAGAGGUGAGUGGAAUUCCGAGUGUAGAGGUGAAAUUCGUAGAUAUUCGGAAGAACACCAGUGGCGAAGGCGGCUCACUGGACUGGUAUUGACGCUGAGGUGCGAAAGCGUGGGGAGCAAACAGG